rnacentral:rRNA from 1 species
UACGUAGGGGGCAAGCGUUAUCCGGAUUUAUUGGGCGUAAAGAGCUCGUAGGCGGCCGUUCGCGUCGGAUGUGAAAGCUCAGGCUCAACUCUGAGACGCCAUUCGAUACGGGACGGCUAGAGGUAGGUAGGGGAAAGUGGAAUUCCUGGUGUAGCGGUGAAAUGCGCAGAUAUCAGGAGGAACACCGAUGGCGAAGGCAGUGUUCUGGGCCAGUACUGACGCUGAGGAGCGAAGCUCGGGGAGCAAACAGG